GCCUGCUUGCUCCUUCCUCUGAGGCUGGUUAUGAGCAGGAAAAGGGAAGCUGAUAGAAGAGGAGUUUAAGGAGAACAAAUAAAAAGAGUUAUUCCAUGGGACUCCUACAGAAGAUCACGUGCAUCAGAGAAAGCUUGCAGCAUCCAUCAGUGUGGAAUGGAUGGUACACGUGACCAUAUGGAGGCUCUCUGCAUAGAGGUAUUCCUUGGUUCUUAGUUUUCCUUAAUGUAGUUCUAAAGGUGAUGAAAAGUCAGACCAGAGAUAGAAAUGUUAGAAAUAACAAAAAUUGUGCCUGCAGUGAAAAGCAGUGGGGAGUAUGGUGAUGAGGAAGGGAGGUAAACAUAUGGAAUAAUCUAGAAAAUUAGAGUUUGUAAAUAGCUGCAGCCUUGAGGCUUUUAAUAUGUCACUCACCAACCUUCUCCACUUAGAGGGGCUGAAAUGUUUACAGUGCUUUUUUGGGUGGAUAAUAUUUAAGGCCUCAGUCACUUUUUCAUUUUAAGCAACUGCAUAUAAACAUGUACUUAUGAAAUGUAAUUUUUGAUUGCUACAAAGAGAGACUUGGAAGUAGGCAUAAGUCAGUUCAUAAGUGUUACCUUCUCCAUAAGUACUUCCUUAUUACCUUUAGAUUCUGUAAAGUGAGGAGAAAGAAAACACCACAGUUCAUGUGAUUGUAUUUCUUUCUUUAAGAGUUGACCAAUAGCAUAUGAGUAAAGGUAACGUCAACAAAAUCAUUCUUG
ensembl:lncRNA